rnacentral:rRNA from 1 species
GAUGAACGCUGGCGGCGUGCCUAAUACAUGCAAGUCGAGCGAACGGACGAGAAGCUUGCUUCUCUGAUGUUAGCGGCGGACGGGUGAGUAACACGUGGAUAACCUACCUAUAAGACUGGGAUAACUUCGGGAAACCGGAGCUAAUACCGGAUGAUAUUUUGAACCGCAUGGUUCAAAAGUUAAAGACGGUCUUGCUGUCACUUAUAGAUGGAUCCGCGCUGCAUUAGCUAGUUGGUAAGGUAAUGGCUUACCAAGGCAACGAUGCAUAGCCGACCUGAGAGGGUGAUCGGCCACACUGGAACUGAGACACGGUCCAGACUCCUACGGGAGGCAGCAGUAGGGAAUCUUCCGCAAUGGGCGAAAGCCUGACGGAGCAACGCCGCGUGAGUGAUGAAGGUCUUCGGAUCGUAAAACUCUGUUAUUAGGGAAGAACAUAUGUGUAAGUAACUGUGCACAUCUUGACGGUACCUAAUCAGAAAGCCACGGCUAACUACGUG